UUAGCGUUAAUUUGUAUGGAGUUGGAACGACUUGCCUACGUUUGCCGUUAGGGGCGCUGUUCCAAACUACAUAUAUAUUUAAGUUA
rnacentral:pre_miRNA from 1 species